AGCCUUUGGGUCAUCCCUGGCUUGAAGGUGGGGUUUCACUGGGGACCCAGCUCUUCCCGCCCGGAAACCUCUUAGCUUCCCACCGCCAUCAAUAUACCGGCUGCGGUGCCCAGGCUGUCCACGCUAAGGGGUGCCCACAGGCCCAUGCCCAGCCACCCUCAGCCCCGCAGCCUCCCUCCCGUUCUCGUUAGUGCCCAGAGUCUGGAGGGGGCUGAGGCGGCUGGAGGCUGGUACGUCAGCAGCCCUAUAUCACGCACAUGCCUGUCUGGGUCGCAACAGUUCCCCGGGCUCAGCCACAACUUUGCUUCACACCAAAGCAAGCCCUGGGAGCAGGGAGAGGCCAAGGAACAGGAGCAAGCACUUCCUAGCCUGCAAGGUCAGGGUGUUUCCCUGGCCCCCAAGAGCACAGGGAUGCCCAGGUCCAGAGCCACAGCUGGGCCGCUGCAACUGCACCUGGGAGCAUGGUGGGAGCAUGGUGCUCGCGCCCCGCCAACUCUGUACGGUGCAGGGUUCUUGUCUGUUUCUGGCCCCGGCUGGCUCUGUGAAGCACGCAGGCCGGACUGCACCUCCCCCACUGCAGCUGGCGCUCUCGCAGUGGCCACUCCAGAGGGGCCACCACUGCCAUCAAAAGUUUGCUGUAUCACCCAGGCUGGAAUGCAGUGGUGCAAUUAAAGCUCACCAUGGCCUUGAACCCCUGAGAUCAACAGAUAUUCCUGACUUAGCCUCCCCAGUAGCUAGGACCACAGCAAUUUUAGUCUGAUCAAGAACCAUUGCUGGGGAACUAAUGCCGUUAUUUGAUGGGCCAAGGCACAGCUCAGCACUCUUGGGCUAAAUACUCUAACCCUGGAGGAUUGGAUCAGGCCCACAGCUUUGUUCUCUGGCUUCUUGAGGUUAAGCAUCUGCUAUGGUGGAAGGGCCAAGGUGUUCCUGUCUUCUGGCAAAAGCACUACAAUACGGGGUGACAGCAAAAGCACUUGAUCUGGGUGAUGGCAGUGGGAUCAGCAUGUGUGCAUUAGCAGCAGCAAGAUGGUCGUGGAAUCCACACAUGCACAUGCCAGAUAUAUAAUUUGUAAGCUAUAAAUGUACUUAACACCAGAGACCCAAAAUAUAUGAAGAAAAGACACAUAAUUGAAGAGAGAAAUGACAAUUAGAUAUAAUUCAAUACUCCACAUUCAAUAGUGAAUAGAAUAACUAGGCAGAUCAGUAACAAAAUAGAAUACGUGAAUAACACAACAAUAGUAUAACAUAAUGAAACCUACUAUACACAUAAAGAACACUCCACACAACAAACGAGAAUACACAUUAUUCUCAAGUGUAUGUGGAACUUUCUCCAGGAUAUACUGUAUGAUAGGUUAUAAAACAUACCUCAAGGGUUUUUUUUAAUGAUAUAAUACAAAAUGCUUUCUCAGACUACAAUGAAAGAAAGUUAGAAAGUGAUAAUAGGAGAAAAUUUUGGAAAUUCAUAAUUAUGUGGAAAUUUUUAAGAUAAUUGGUCAAAGAGGAAGUCACAAUGGAAGUCAGACAACACCUUGGAAAAAAUGAAUACAGAAUCACAACACACUAAAAUUUAGGGGAUGCAGCUAAAGCAGUGCUUAGAAGGAAAUGUAUUUGUAUCUGGCUAUCUUAAAGGAAAUAAAUAUUUCAAAUCAAUACUAUAAGUUUUCACCUUAUAAAAUUAGAAACAGUAGAGCUAACCACAUCCAGAAUAAAUGAAAGGAAACAGUGUACAUUAGAACAAAAAAUGAAAUAAAGAAUAGAAAAUUCAAUAAAGUUAUCAAUAAAACCAAAAGUUACUUCUUAGAAAAUAUAAACCUUCAAUUGACUGAUAAAGAUAAAAACACACAUAUUUGAACAAAUAGAAUAACUUGAUUGCAGAUAUAUGUAUCGCUGUAUCUUUGAUGGUAAGUUGAGGUAGUAUAUAUCUGAUCACUCUGGAUAUCUGUGUAAAAUAAAAUGCUAGGUAGA
rnacentral:lncRNA from 1 species